ACUGUGGAGAUGGCCGUACAACUCCACGCGUAUGCUGAAAACCAUUGAGUUUUACACUUUAAGUGGGCGAAGUAUACCGUAUGUGAAUUCUAUCACAACAGAGCUGUUGUUUAAAAACAACAACAACAACCAAUGCAAAGCUGCGCAAGGGACGUGGGAUUGGCUGUGGGAGGGAGGUUUGCUGACUAAUGGAAGGUGGGAGGGACCUCAAAAGUCCUGUUACUCACUGACCUUAUUUACCAGCGGAACGCUGGGCCCGUCUUGCCCACGGGACAGGGUGAGUCAGGGGCUUGAACCCCUGUCUCCAGACCCCCUGGCCCCGCGUCCCCCCACCCCAUUACCUCCAUCCACCCUGCCCGCAGCUGCCCCUCCACCCCCCCCCCCGGCCCUUCCAUCCAGCAACCUUGCCUCCCUUUUGGCCGGCAGCCUACUGAGAGGUCAGAUGACAAGAGCGACCCUCCCUUUCCCCGCGGAGAGCUCGACAGGGUGCACAGUAUGUGCACAGCCUCUGCUCCCUUAAGGCAGCGCGGCCCAGCGGGGCGCCCUGUCUGCUGUCCCGGGUGCAUUUCCGGCUCCCUCUCUCACCGGCUCUGAGCCCUUGGGGAAGCCACUCACUGCUUCUGUCAAACUUCCAUCGCCUCACCUAUGAACAGGGAAUAAACGACAGACUCUACCUCCCAGGACCGCAAUGAGGAUUCACUGAGAACAUCCACGGACAGCACUUACUUCGAAUUCUUACCUGUGCACGAGGCACACGGGGGCAGUGUCGCCCCCCGUUACAGAGGGGGACGCAGAGCUGGUGGGGGUAGAAUCAGGGGGGAGAACUGCUUGGGGUCACGUGCCCAGGCUGCGAGGGGUACAUGGGGACACCAAGGCCCACUUCCUGCCCUGAAGCGCAUGGCCUGAGCCAAAGAGGGGAGAAGAUUGGGCCCCUGGCCAUCAGGCUGGGCUGAGAGGGAAUGUACAGGCCCAAACCCGGCUGUGGGACUCAGUGAAAAGUACUUGGGCUGCUUUGGGGCAAGGAUCCCGGGACUGGGCGAGUGCUGGGGCCCCAGGAGGGCUCGGAACACCAGAGAAGAGGAAGAGGGCAUCCCAGUUAUGGGAAUCUGAGCAAGCAGUGUUGGAGACCGAAGGGGAGUGGCCUGUGUGGGGUCAAAGAAGCUGGAUGCCCGGCCACUGGGUACAAAGGACAACUAAAGCCAGAGAAAGGCCAGGUAAGGGUGGAACCACAGCCAGAACUGGGCUCCCCUCCCUCCUGCCACCUUGGGCUGGUGAUGUUUUUCUGACCCUCAGCAAAACCUUCUAAUGUCAUGAAGACUGGUGGUCAAGGGGUGGUCAAGGGGAGUCUGGACAUUCCCCCCCUUCCUGUGCUCUUUGUACUGGUCCCAGAGGCCCGGGACCCCUGUCCAGAGGAGGCCUCUAGGAGGCAAUAAUCAAGACAGUGACGACAACGUUAGGAUCUCUGGCAGGAGAUCUAGACCCUUCCUCCUGUGCCGCAGUCACGCUCAGGGGUCUCUGCCUGCUUUGUCUUCGUCUACAGCUGCCCUUCUUCAGUGAGUCCCCACCAGAGACCAGGCACGAUGCCAAGUUCAUCUCUUCAUUUCAGAGUGGAGAGAUGGGCUCAGAGAAGUUCAGUCAGUUGCCCAAGGACUGGAGUUCCAGAAGCAAACAGUGGCAAUCAGACGACUGCUGCCUGAGACUCCAGACGGCAGGCCCGGAGGGUUUGUAAGUAAGCUCCUCGAAGACACCAGGUCCCCGGCCACCUGCCUAGGAUUCCAGCCCCCAGAGCUGCGGCCUCUGAGCCCCUGGGGCCCCUGCGGCUUCCCCCCGCACUGGGCCCAGGGCUUUGGAGACUGGGGACCAGCCCGGGGCCCUCUGGGGCUGGCCGAGGUGCUGGUGGUUGGGGUGGUUGUGACUGAGGCAGGGUGGCUCAGGGAUGCCCUGGGGAGGGAGAAGGGUCAGCCCAAGGACGUGCAGCUCCCGAAGAGGCAGCCACCUCCCAGGCUCUCUGACUCUGAUCAACCCAUCUCCACUAACCUGGGUGGACAGGGGCUCCCGUCAGGACCCAAAGAGGCUGAGGUGACCAGGCCCAGACAAUCUCUGUUCCUCCCACGUCUCAAGGCUGCCUUGGAACCCGAGAAGCCUCCACCUGUUCCACACCAGCCAAGGGCAUCUGAGAAACGGAUGCAUCAUCUUUCCUGGACCGUGCUGGAAGGCUGGAUUCCUAGAAGACAGGAAUUUAUGGUGUGAGAGCUCCAGCCCCCGCAAACCCGCAGCCAAGGUCAACAGCACGAGGGGGGCAGCCCUGCCAAGCGAGGAGGGGAGCAGUGACUUUGGGAGCUGGUUGCACAGAAAACCAAAGUACAUGCAUU